AGUGAACGCUGGCGGUAGGCCUAACACAUGCAAGUCGAACGGCAGCACAGUAAGAGCUUGCUCUUACGGGUGGCGAGUGGCGGACGGGUGAGGAAUACAUCGGAAUCUACUUUUUCGUGGGGGAUAACGUAGGGAAACUUACGCUAUUACCGAAUAGAACCAACGGGGAAAAUCAGGGAUCCUCGGAACUUUGGCUGUUUAAUUAACCGAAGGCCGGUUUAGGUAGUUGGCGGGGUAAAGGCCCACCAAGCCGACGAUCCGUAGCUGGUCUGAGAGGAUGAUCAGCCACACUGGAACUGAGACACGGUCCAGACUCCUACGGGAGGCAGCAGUGGGGAAUAUUGGACAAUGGGCGCAAGCCUGAUCCAGCCAUACCGCGUGGGUGAAGAAGGCCUUCGGGUUGUAAAGCCCUUUUGUUGGGAAAGAAAAGCAGCAGGUUAAUACCCCGCUGUUCUGACGGUACCCAAAGAAUAAGCACCGGCUAACUUCGUG
rnacentral:rRNA from 1 species